rnacentral:rRNA from 1 species
GAUAAACGCUAGCGGCAGGCUUAACACAUGCAAGUCGAGGGGCAGCAUAGAUUGUAGCAAUACAAUUGGUGGCGACCGGCGCACGGGUGCGUAACGCGUAUGCAAUCUACCCGUCACAGGGGGAUAAUCCGGAGAAAUCUGGUCUAAUACCCCAUAACAUAUGGAUCGGCAUCGGUUCAUGUUGAAAUUUUAGGAGGUGACGGAUGGGCAUGCGUAGCAUUAGCUUGUUGGUGAGGUAACGGAUCACAAAGGCGACGAUGCUUAGGGGGACCGUGAGGUUGUCCCCCCACACUGGUACUGAGACACGGACCGGACUCCUACGGGAGGCAGCAGUGAGGAAUAUUGGUCAAUGGGCGCAAGCCUGAACCAGCCAUGCCGCGUGCAGGAUGACGGCUCUAUGAGUUGUAAACUGCUUUUGUACGAGGGUAAAGUGGGUUACGUGUAACCUUUUGAAAGUAUCGUACGAAUAAGGAUCGGCUAACUCCGUGCCAGCCGCCGCCGUAA